GACGUAGGGCGCGAGCGUUGUCCGGAUUUAUUGGGCGUAAAGAGCUCGUAGGCGGCUUGUUGCGUCGUUCGUGAAAUCCCGUGGCUCAACUGCGGGCUUGCGGACGAUACGGGCAGGCUAGAAUUCGGUAGGGGAGACUGGAAUUCCUGGUGUAGCAGUGAAAUGCGCAGAUAUCAGGAGGAACACCGGUGGCGAAGGCGGGUCUCUGGGCCGAUAUUGACGCUGAGGAGCGAAAGCGUGGGGAGCGAACAGG
rnacentral:rRNA from 1 species